rnacentral:rRNA from 1 species
UACGUAGGGUGCGAGCGUUGUCCGGAAUUAUUGGGCGUAAAGAGCUUGUAGGCGGUUUGUCGCGUCGGGAGUGAAAACCAGGUGCUUAACACCUGGCUUGCUUUCGAUACGGGCAGACUAGAGGUAUGCAGGGGGAGAACGGAAUUCCUGGUGUAGCGGUGAAAUGCGCAGAUAUCAGGAGGAACACCGGUGGCGAAGGCGGGUCUCUGGGCAAUAACUGACGCUGAGGAGCGAAAGCGUGGGGAGCGAACAGG